rnacentral:lncRNA from 1 species
UGGUUGUAUAGAAAGCUAGAAGUGGUAUUUGGGUGUAACUGUGCUGUCAUAUUUACAUUUGCAAGCACAUUUGUCAUAGAUACCACAGCCCUACAUGAAGCAAACCUAUAAUCACGAGCAACCAAACAAGAGCUGACAAAAGCAUAGAGGAAAGACCUUGUGUUGGUACAUUGAACUGACAGCAGCAAUAGGUAUCUCAGCAUACUGUGUAUCAGCAGGAACUAUUUGAUAGGUACAUUAGUUGUAUAUUUGUAUUAAAGCCAUAUAUUUAAGCUAAGUUGAAUGUGACACAACUGUGUGGCCGUGGCUGUGUGGGGAUAUAAAUUAAAUAACAGGAAAAGUAAUAACUAAUGACAGUAGUCCAUAACCGUAGCUAUAAACAAAAGAAAUGUAAUAUUGAGUUUUAUCAUAUAUAUAGUCCAGUAAAGAAAUGACAGAUCAGGUUGCAAAAAAAAUAAAAUAAAAUAAAAUACUGAACAACCGGAUAUACUAUAGGAACCAGCCCUUUGAGCAAAAAAGUGAAACAAGCUUAGAAAUGUCACCACAAAUGUUGUAUGCCCUGCUUAAUCCAUCACUGAGUUAUACGAAUGAAAGGUUCAUCUUUAAAAAAAUAAGAGAAUGAAAAGAUCAUUAAUUUUUACGAAAACUUGUGAGAAGCCUGCAGUAUUGAAUUUUAGUUUUACCUAGAUUUGCCUGCAGUAACUAGGCAUUGAGCUCAAUGACACGGCAGCCAAAGCCUUAAAAUGAUAGAGCAAGAAAUUGGAAAAAAAAAAAAAAAAUCAAGUUCAGCUGUCUUUCCUACAGACAUUCCUACAGACAAGUGUCUUGAAAAAAGUCCAAAAGUUCAAUUUACCUGUUUAAAAUGGCUGUAAAUGAUCAAAAGGCGUUUAGACAGCAUUUAGAUAGCAAAUAAUCUGAUCAUGACAUCUAUUGUAAUCAUGCUAUUUUCUCUACAAACCAAACAAGAACACAAGCACUGUUGAAUAAACAUCAAAC